GGGUUGUGAGGUUAAGCGACUAAGCGUACACGGUGGAUGCCCUGGCAGUCAGAGGCGAUGAAGGACGUGCUAAUCUGCGAUAAGCGUCGGUAAGGUGAUAUGAACCGUUAUAACCGGCGAUUUCCGAAUGGGGAAACCCAGUGUGAUUCGUCACACUAUCAUUAACUGAAUCCAUAGGUUAAUGAGGCGAACCGGGGGAACUGAAACAUCUAAGUACCCCGAGGAAAAGAAAUCAACCGAGAUUCCCCCAGUAGCGGCGAGCGAACGGGGAGCAGCCCAGAGCCUGAAUCAGUGUGUGUGUUAGUGGAAGCGUCUGGAAAGGCGCGCGAUACAGGGUGACAGCCCCGUACACAAAAAUGCACAUACUGUGAGCUCGAUGAGUAGGGCGGGACACGUGGUAUCCUGUCUGAAUAUGGGGGGACCAUCCUCCAAGGCUAAAUACUCCUGACUGACCGAUAGUGAACCAGUACCGUGAGGGAAAGGCGAAAAGAACCCCGGCGAGGGGAGUGAAAAAGAACCUGAAACCGUGUACGUACAAGCAGUGGGAGCCUCUUUUAUGGGGUGACUGCGUACCUUUUGUAUAAUGGGUCAGCGACUUAUAUUCUGUAGCAAGGUUAACCGAAUAGGGGAGCCGAAGGGAAACCGAGUCUUAACUGGGCGUUAAGUUGCAGGGUAUAGACCCGAAACCCGGUGAUCUAGCCAUGGGCAGGUUGAAGGUUGGGUAACACUAACUGGAGGACCGAACCGACUAAUGUUGAAAAAUUAGCGGAUGACUUGUGGCUGGGGGUGAAAGGCCAAUCAAACCGGGAGAUAGCUGGUUCUCCCCGAAAGCUAUUUAGGUAGCGCCUCGUGAAUUCAUCUCCGGGGGUAGAGCACUGUUUCGGCAAGGGGGUCAUCCCGACUUACCAACCCGAUGCAAACUGCGAAUACCGGAGAAUGUUAUCACGGGAGACACACGGCGGGUGCUAACGUCCGUCGUGAAGAGGGAAACAACCCAGACCGCCAGCUAAGGUCCCAAAGUCAUGGUUAAGUGGGAAACGAUGUGGGAAGGCCCAGACAGCCAGGAUGUUGGCUUAGAAGCAGCCAUCAUUUAAAGAAAGCGUAAUAGCUCACUGGUCGAGUCGGCCUGCGCGGAAGAUGUAACGGGGCUAAACCAUGCACCGAAGCUGCGGCAGCGACACUGUGUGUUGUUGGGUAGGGGAGCGUUCUGUAAGCCUGUGAAGGUGUACUGUGAGGUAUGCUGGAGGUAUCAGAAGUGCGAAUGCUGACAUAAGUAACGAUAAAGCGGGUGAAAAGCCCGCUCGCCGGAAGACCAAGGGUUCCUGUCCAACGUUAAUCGGGGCAGGGUGAGUCGACCCCUAAGGCGAGGCCGAAAGGCGUAGUCGAUGGGAAACAGGUUAAUAUUCCUGUACUUGGUGUUACUGCGAAGGGGGGACGGAGAAGGCUAUGUUGGCCGGGCGACGGUUGUCCCGGUUUAAGCGUGUAGGCUGGUUUUCCAGGCAAAUCCGGAAAAUCAAGGCUGAGGCGUGAUGACGAGGCACUACGGUGCUGAAGCAACAAAUGCCCUGCUUCCAGGAAAAGCCUCUAAGCAUCAGGUAACAUCAAAUCGUACCCCAAACCGACACAGGUGGUCAGGUAGAGAAUACCAAGGCGCUUGAGAGAACUCGGGUGAAGGAACUAGGCAAAAUGGUGCCGUAACUUCGGGAGAAGGCACGCUGAUAUGUAGGUGAAGCGACUUGCUCGUGGAGCUGAAAUCAGUCGAAGAUACCAGCUGGCUGCAACUGUUUAUUAAAAACACAGCACUGUGCAAACACGAAAGUGGACGUAUACGGUGUGACGCCUGCCCGGUGCCGGAAGGUUAAUUGAUGGGGUCAGCGCAAGCGAAGCUCUUGAUCGAAGCCCCGGUAAACGGCGGCCGUAACUAUAACGGUCCUAAGGUAGCGAAAUUCCUUGUCGGGUAAGUUCCGACCUGCACGAAUGGCGUAAUGAUGGCCAGGCUGUCUCCACCCGAGACUCAGUGAAAUUGAACUCGCUGUGAAGAUGCAGUGUACCCGCGGCAAGACGGAAAGACCCCGUGAACCUUUACUAUAGCUUGACACUGAACAUUGAGCCUUGAUGUGUAGGAUAGGUGGGAGGCUUAGAAGUGUGGACGCCAGUCUGCAUGGAGCCGACCUUGAAAUACCACCCUUUAAUGUUUGAUGUUCUAACGUUGACCCGUAAUCCGGGUUGCGGACAGUGUCUGGUGGGUAGUUUGACUGGGGCGGUCUCCUCCUAAAGAGUAACGGAGGAGCACGAAGGUUGGCUAAUCCUGGUCGGACAUCAGGAGGUUAGUGCAAUGGCAUAAGCCAGCUUGACUGCGAGCGUGACGGCGCGAGCAGGUGCGAAAGCAGGUCAUAGUGAUCCGGUGGUUCUGAAUGGAAGGGCCAUCGCUCAACGGAUAAAAGGUACUCCGGGGAUAACAGGCUGAUACCGCCCAAGAGUUCAUAUCGACGGCGGUGUUUGGCACCUCGAUGUCGGCUCAUCACAUCCUGGGGCUGAAGUAGGUCCCAAGGGUAUGGCUGUUCGCCAUUUAAAGUGGUACGCGAGCUGGGUUUAGAACGUCGUGAGACAGUUCGGUCCCUAUCUGCCGUGGGCGCUGGAGAACUGAGGGGGGCUGCUCCUAGUACGAGAGGACCGGAGUGGACGCAUCACUGGUGUUCGGGUUGUCAUGCCAAUGGCACUGCCCGGUAGCUAAAUGCGGAAGAGAUAAGUGCUGAAAGCAUCUAAGCACGAAACUUGCCCCGAGAUGAGUUCUCCCUGACCCUUUAAGGGUCCUGAAGGAACGUUGAAGACGACGACGUUGAUAGGCCGGGUGUGUAAGCGCAGCGAUGCGUUGAGCUAACCGGUACUAAUGAACCGUGAGGCUUAACCUUACAACGCCGAAG
rnacentral:rRNA from 1 species